AGCAUUGCUACAUGGAUGAAUGCACACACACAUUUCCCACUCACCAUCUUUUUUAUUAACAAUAUAAUUACGAUAUCCCAUGAAAUUACUGCAUGAUGAUGGCACAUGCAGCAGUGUCAUAUGGCUUAAGGCUUAAUGCUCGAGCCAGACUGAGUAAACAUGGACUUCGGCCAUUCAGGCAUUUUAACCCACUCAGGGUACUCUGCCUUUCUCAGGUUUCUUCUCCUCUUCUUUUUCAUGCUUUGGGAACUCAUGUUUAUCUUCCUUAUCCUCAUCUUGUUUUUCCUUGCACUCGGGUAUUUUUGGAUAUUCGGCUUUAUGUUUCUCGUGCUCUUUAGGCUUUUCCCAUUUGAAGAAAUUGGAUUUUUCUUUCUCGUACUCUUCGUGAUCUUUCGAUUCGUGUGACUCGUGGCACUCUUCAUCUUUAUGUUCCUUACUCUUAUCUUGCUUUUCCUUGUACUCGGGUAUUUUCGGAUAUUCGACUUCGUGUUUCUCGUGCUCUUUAGGCUUUUCCCAUUUGGGGAACUCGGGUUUUUCUUUCUCGUAUUCUUCGUGCUCCUUCGAUUCGCGUGAUUCAUGGUACUCUUCAUUUUUAUGUUCCUUAUCCUCAUCUUGUUUGUCCUUGUACUCGGGUAUUUUCGGAUAUUCAACUUCGUGUUUCUUGUGCUCUUUAGGCUUUUCCCAUUUGGGGAAAUCGGGUUUUUCUUUAUCGUACUCUUCGUGCUCCUUCGAUUCGCGUGACUCGUGGUACUCUUCAUGAUGUUUGCAGGGUUUUUGUUUUUCCUCCUUGUGCAUUUUAGGCUUUUCAUGUUUUGGGUACUUUUCGUGAUAUUUUGGUUGUUUGUAUUCAGACUCUUUGUGCUUUUCGUAUUUUGAAGCCAAUUGUGACAGCUCUGAUGAGGUUGUUUGUGUCUGGAAUAAAUGUCGAGCCGCUGACGAGACGGUGUGACUACCGAUCAUUAGUGAGACAGUAAUGAGUAAAAGUUGGAAAAGGAAGAAAGGAUGACAAAAGUUAUGAGCCAUGGUUAACCAAAUAGAAAGAAAAGAAUUUUGAGUGUAUUUUUGUGUGGAUUGUUGUCUAUGUGUAGCAAGCCUUUUAUAGGAGAGGAUGAGAGAUGGUUUGGUGGGAUUUGGCUCCACGUUGUUUGUACCAAUUUCUCAUCUACAUAAUUGACUUAUGGUGGGAUUAUGUUAAGAAGGUGCUCAAUCUAUGUCAAAUAUUUUUACGUAAAUAUACAAAAUAUAAUCUUUCAAAUAUAUGAAAAAAAUGUUAUAAAAAUUAAGUGUUUUUCUUUAUUUAGAUAAUAGUUUGUGAGAGCAUUUAAUUCGAGUAAUAUUAGAUUACUUUUCAUAAUAAGAUUACGGGGAUGUAAGAUUAUAAGUGGGAUGUUCCGUAUGUUAUAUUAUCUUAUUUGGUUAAUUUGAUUUGAAUUUUUGAUUUUGGUUAAGAGUACUUAAAAUUACCUAAAAGUACAUUUUUACUAAAUUGUCUUUGUUAUAGAAUUUAUUCUCUUAAUGUUUCUUGGUCUCAAUUUCUAUAAAAUUAUGAUAAAUUCGACUAACCAAACAUCACAUUAAUAUUUUAUUUUUUAGUGUGACCAGCCCAUCUUAUUUUAAUUUCAUUUUAACAUUAUUCUGUGAGCAGUUGAACUAGACAAAGUGCCUUUAUCCAUUAUAGGCAAAAAUUGGCUCAUUGAAGGCAGCUCAAACUUUGAUCACUCUUGGGUAGACCAGCCAACUGCUUGCAAAAAGUAUAAUGUUAUAUACUUUACGUAUAUCCCCACUGUCACAUUCACCAAAGUAUAAUUAUGAUUAAAUUAUUAAUAUUAUAUGUUAAUUAUGAUUAAAUUAUUAAUAUUAUAUGUUAAAACAUAAUAAAAAAAGAUAUGGUCAAUCUUCAUUUCCCUCUUCUCUCCACCGUUUGCAAGAAAAAGAAACAAAAGAAGCCAUUUUUAAGCUCUUAGCAUUCGGCUAACCUCUGUUUUUGAAAUUGAUAAGUGAUUUUAAGCUUGUUUUUUUAUAAUUUUUAUAUUUUUGAAGUCUUAUAAGCUUGAUUUAACUAAUCAUGAAUUGGUGUCAUUUGGUUAGAUUUGAUGCUUAGAUAUGAAAAAGGAUUAAUUUCUAAAGUGAAAAUUUAUAGUUUUGAACUUAAGGAUUAAAGUGUAAAUAUUUCAAAAUUGGUUUGAAAUUUCUGUAAUUAUAGAUGAUAGAGGGUUAUAGAAGUAAGAAAUUGAAAUCAGAUUGAAAAAAUGAAACUUAAAUUUGAAAGAUAUAGCUAUUUCAGGGAAUAAAUUUAAUAAAUUUUAAAACUUUAGGAAACUGAAUUGAACUGAUUUAUAUUUAUAAUAGGAUGAUAUAAGGUGAUUGGAAUUGAUAAAUUGUAAUAAAUUAUUAUAGGUCGCAACUUUAAUAAACCAUAUGAUAAUUGAAGAAAAACGAAAAAUUGUAGAUUAAACCCUGACGUCAUGUCGUUGUGGUUUUGUCAGGUAAGUUUAUAUGGACUUACUAUUGUAAUACCCCAAACUCGGUCUAGAAUUUAUGACCGGAUCUUGAGGGUUACACUGACUACUUAAAGCUAGAUUAUUCGCUUCCCAAAACAUUGCUUGAUCUUGCAUUAGUAAUUUUGUAAAAAAAAAAUCAUUUACAUUUAUUUCCUAGAAAACUUAAUUAUUGUGAAAUAAGUAUUUUUGAAAACAUAUAUUACUUCCCACCAAAUCAAAUUGAAAGUCGUAAUAUUAACUUAUUUACUCUUUUUGAAAAAUAAAUUCACUUAUUCUGAAUUUGCAGCGGUAAAAAUUUUUAAACAUUUCCAUUUUGAAAAAAAAAUCGAACAUCCUUUUCAAAUAAUAGAAAAUUUAUGCAGAUUAUUUAAACUAAUUAUCUAAAAAACUCAACAAAACUCAAAACCAAAAUAAAAUUCCAAAAAUUAGUCCGACGGUCCAAAAGUACGUAAAUUUUAAUUAAUAAUUAUUUAAUAAAUAUUAUGUAAAACCGUGUUUACCUAAAAACCGUUACAGUUACCACCUUUUACUUAACUCAGAAAUCAUAUAUAUAUUGAUUAAUUUGCUUGGAAACAUUUCUUAGUUCGCGGAAGCUUAAGAACAAAUAAAGUUGUAGUUCCAAAAUCCAUAAACAAUAUUUUCAAAUUCUAAACUUAUACCAAACAGCCUGAAACCAAAAAUUUCAUAAUUACUCCCAACUAUAGCAAAUAAAAUAAUAAAAGCAUUAAAAACCUUUAAAACCAGAGUGUAUGUAGCAAUGGUCACCGUCGAGCCCUCCGCAGCACCGAUCCACCUACUGCUGGGGAUUACCUGAUAGACAAAUAAAAAUAAGGGGUGAGUUUUCAAAAACUCAAUGUGUACAUCCCUACAGCAAGCACGCAUGUAAAUGGAUAGCAGUCAAAUAGUCAUAAUCCUGAGUUCUUAACAGAAUCAAUGUAGGUUUUAGCCCACUCAGAAUAGUAUUAGAUACAUUCGGGCCUUCACCCAUACAGACAUACAUGCAUAUCGAUUAGAACAGUAAUGCUCACCAACCCAGCACACCAUUUCCGUCCAACCUAACAGACCAUGUGGGGAUGAAAUCUACCUACCCAGCCCUACACACCAAGUAUGGGGAUAAAAUCAACCCAUCCAACCCUACACACCCAGUGGUACCGUAUACGGAACGUAUCAGAUAUAUACAGCAUAGUUGCCCGAUGACAGGUCAAUAGCCUUUCAGUCUUCCUUCUCUUCAACAACAAACCCAACCUAACCCAAUACAAUGCAAUAUAAAUAAUAUGGCAUGCUUAUGUGCAGACAUCAAAUCAUAACAUUGUCAUCAAAUUAGAACAGAUACACAUGCUUUAAUUAUCAUACUCUUACGUACAUCUUAGUAUCAGAUCAGAGUAUAGGGGUCUAAGUAACACUUACCGACCCUACCAACAGGUUACAGUCGACUUGGGUGACUCGUGCAACCUUGCAGAACAUUCCAAACAACUCGGGCUCACACAUCCAUGUGCCUUGCCCAUGUGGGCUCACAUGCCCGUGUGGCUCACACGGCCCAGAUUGGCCUUACCCGUGUCGAUCACAUGGCCUGGCCCAAGAUCUCACACUCUCGUGUGGUUCAUCCGUGUGGCCCACACGGCCCAAUUGGUCAAGGCCAUGCCUCACACACGGUCUCGCUAGCCUCACAUGCCAGUGUUCGUCAUGCCCAUAUGGCGUGCGCACGGUCUACUUCUUCGACCACACGGUCGUGUCUCGCCACACGGCCUCCACAUGGGCAGUCUACACUCCCAUGUGGCAUCGACAGCAGCAUUUUUGGCUUUCGCCGAAACGCGACUUCAGAUUGAUUGGAGUACACACCUGGUUUUGAUUGAAGCCUAACGCAAUCCUGAGCCCUUUAGAAGCUAUAUUCAACAAUGUCAAAACCCAUUUCAGUCACUUAAACAAUGUUUGAUUGAAACUAAACAAGGUAUUCCGCGCCGAAAUCGGUAAAUUUUGUACCUCGAGCAAAAACCAGCAAAUACUACGCGCUUAACUCGCUAUUCAGGAACGAAGAAUAGCCCCUUGAUCUGUACCUAAACACCCAAACAAAAUUUCCACUUAAUCUCUUAAUCAAAAAGAUGCUUACGAACGACAAGAAGAAACCUACCAAUGAGGAGAAUGUCAAUGAAACGCAGAAGCCCGUUAAUACGAAAUCAAAAUGAAUGAGAGGAAGGCAAGGGAAAUUUCGGCAAAAAGAAAAGAAAUAGAAUGUGGAGAGGAGAACAAUAGUAGAGAAUUUCGACAAAGAGAGAGUUCUUUUGGGGAAACUACUCAGAAAAAUCUGAUAAACCCCACCACUUCAGAGUUUUAGUUCACCUCCAAUUUUAUCACGGCCUUAGUGGCAAAAGUAAUGCCCAAGCUAGGAUUCGAACACAGGACUUCUAGCAUAAACCCUUUCCAAUUAACCCUUUCCAAUUAACCACUAGCUUAUUAACCAAAAGCCAAGCUUUACUUAAACAAAAAAUUUGCCCAAGUUGAGACUUGAACUUGGGACUUCCCUAACACACCCUCAAAGCACUUAAACACAAAAGAAGACAAAUAUUAUGUAAAUUCAUGCAAAAACAUAUUCAGAUAUUUUCCUAUGCUACAAUUUCACAAAAACUGAAAUUACAAAAAUCUGGGGUGUUACAACUUUACCCCCUUAAAGAAAAUUCGUCUUCGAAUUUUACCUGGUCAGAAAAUGUGAGGAUAUCGCUGACGCAUUGAAUCCUCUGGCUCCCAAGUAGCCUCCUCAGUGCUAUGAUUCUGCCACAGCACCUUCACUAAGGGAACAGACUUCCUACGCAGAACUUUGACGUCGCGAUCCAAAAUUUGAACUGGCUCCUUCUCGAAUGUCAGAUCUGGUCUAACCUCAAUUUCCUCUAUAGGCACAAUGUGCGUGGGAUUAGAGCGGUAACAUCUCAACAUCGAGACAUGAAAGACAUCGUGAAUACGAUCUAACUCGGAGGUAACUCCAACUGAUACGCAACUGGCCCCACUCGCUUCAGAAUUUGGUACUGCCCAAUAAACCAGGGACUCAACUUACCUUUGCGACCGAACUUCAGAACCUUUCUCCAAGGCGAGACCUUAAGGAAAACCAAGUCCCCCAUAGAAUACUCAAUAUCGUUCCUCUUCAAAUCAGCAUAGGACUUCUGUGUAUUUGAAGCCGCUUUCAGUCGAUCCCGAAUCAAACAAACCUUAUUUUUAGUCUCUGAAACCAACUCCGAACCCAGAACACGUCGCUCACCCAACUCAAUCCAGCAUAAAGUGGUGCAACACUUACGACUAUAAAGUUCCUCAUCAGGAGCCAUCUGAAUACUAGACUGAUAGGUGUUAUUGUAAGCGAACUCUGCCAAAGGCAAGUACUCCUCCUAACUAACUUGGAAAUCCAUAACACAGCCCCUUAACAUAUCCUCCAGUAUCUAAAUCACCCUCUCCGGCUGACCAUCUGUCUGAGGAUGAAAUGCAGCACUGAAGUCAAGUCGUGAACCCAAAGCUUCAUGAAGCUUCUGCUAAAAUCAAAAAGUAAACUGAGGAUCUCUAUUGGAGAUAAUCGACACUGGAACCUCAUGUAGUUUUACUAUCUCUGAGAUGUAAAGUUUAGAAAACUUCUGUAAAGAGAAGUCUGCCCUAACAGGAAUGACGUGUGCAGACUUGGUCAAUCGAUCCAUGACGACCCAAACAGAAUCCUUCUUAGUGGGUGUUAGUGGCAACCCACUAACGAAAUCCAUCGUUAAUCGCUCACAUUUCCACGUAGGUAUCUUAACAGGCUGUAGCAACCCCGAAGGCAACUGAUGCUCAGCCUUAACCUGCUGACAAGUCAGACAGCAUGCAACGAAAUUGGUCAACUCACGCUUCAACCCUGGCCACCAGUACAACUCUCGGAGAUCUUUAUACAUCUUAUUUCCACCAGGAUACAUAGCUUACGGACUACUAUACGCUUCUUUUAAAAUCGACAGCCUCAAAUCCUCAUCAUUAGGUACACAGAUCCUACUUCAGAAGCACAAUACCCCUUCACUAUUCAGCCCAAAAUCUGUAGUAGUCCCACUCUAAACCUGACGAAAUUGCAUCUCGAGAGUCUUAUCUUCUAACUGCUUAACUCUAAUCUGCUCAAUCCAUGUCGGCUUCACUUGAAGCUCUGCCAGAAGACUCCUAUCAUUAUAAAGACUCAGUCGAGCGAAAAAAGCUCUCAAAUUAGCCACAACACUACGGCUUAAUGCUCGACCACCACAUUGGCCUUUCCAGGGUAAUACUCUAUACUACAGUCGUAAUCCUUAAGUAGCUCAACCCAUCGUCACUGCCUAAAAUUUAACUCCUUCUGAAUGACCAGAUGCUUGAGGCUCUUGUAAUCAGUGUAUAUGGUACACCUCUCACCGUACAGAUAGUUCCUCUAAAUCUUUAAUGCAAAGACGAUUGCAGCCAACUCCAAAUCAUGCGUUGGAUAAUUAGCCUCGUGAGUCUUAAGUUGUCGAGAUGCAUAGGCAACUACCUUACCAUAUUACAUCAAGACGCAACCCAAACCCACAUGUGAUGCACCACUGUAAACCACAAAGUCCCUACCAGGCUCAGGCUGUAUCAGAAUUGGAGCCUGAGUUAACACGGUUUUGAGCUUCUCAAAGUUCUCCCACUAUGCAUUAGUCCAAACAAAGGAAACUCCCCUACAGAGUAACUUAGUCAAAGGCGCUGCAAUCAAAGAAAACCCUUCUUCGAAACGUUGAUAAUAUCCUGCCAGUCCCCGAAACUACGAAUCAUCGACACAUUCUUCGGCUGUUUCCAAUCCAGCACAGCCUCAAUCUUACGAAGAUCAACAUGAAUUGCCCCAGCAGACACCAUAUGUCUCAAAAAGAUUACUUCAUGAAGCCAAAACUCACACUUAGAGAACUUUGCAUAAAGCUGUUUCUCACGAAGGAUCUAUAGAAUAACCCUAAGAUGCUCAUCGUGCUCAUCCUCAGAUUUAGAGUAAAUCAAGAUGUCGUCGAUAAACACCACCACGAACUGGUCUAAGUAGGGCUAAAACACCCGGUUCAUCAAGUCCAUGAAUACCGCUGGUGUAUUAGUCAACCCAAAGGGCAUAACCAAGAACUCGUAAUGUCCAUAACGAGUCCUAAAUAUCGUCUUAAGCACAUCAGCCUCCUAACCCUUAACUGAUGAUAACCUGAUCGUAGAUCGAUCUUUGAGAACACCGAAGCCCUUUUGAGCUGAUCGAAUAAAUCGUCUAUCCCCGGAAGUGGGUAUUUAUUCUUAAUCGUCAACUUACUCAACUGACGGUAAUCGAUACACAUCCUCAUCGUACCGUCCUUCUUCUUUACGAAUAGAACAGGUGCUCCCCAUGGAGACACACUGGGACGAAUAAACCCACGAUCUAAUAGCUCCUGAAUUUGAGCCUUCAGUUUUGCCAGCUCCUUUGGUGCCAUUCGACAAAGGGCGAUAGACACCGGAGCUGUACCAGGAAUCAACUCAAUAAAAAAUUCUACCUCACGACUCGGAGGCAAUCCCGGUAGUUCUUCUGGAAAAACAUCUGGAAAGUCCUUCACAGUACGGAUGUCCUUAACCGAAGAGUCCACAGAAUCAGAAACACUGAUGUAGGCCAAGUAUGCCUCACAUCCCUUUCUUACAAGCUUCUCCGCUACCAACGCAGAUAUCACAUUACUUAGAUAAUUUCGUCGUUCUCCAAUCACGACUAUCUCAUCGUCCUCCUUGGUCCUCAGAACAACCCUCUUUUCAGCACAAUCCAGACUUAAACGAUGCUUCACCAACCAGUCCAUGCCCAGAAUUAAAUCGAACUCCUUAAACGGAAGUUCCAUCAGAUCAGCCAAGAAUACUGUUACUUGGACUUCCAACGGAACGUCUCUAAACAAUUUAUUAACCCUAAUGGACUGCCCCAACAGACUCACAGCUGAAAUCUCACUAGAAUUGCUCUCCUGUGGAGUCCCUAAAGUCUCAGACACAGAACAUGCAACAUAAGAAUGUGUAGAGCCUAUGUCUAUCAGUGCAACAUAAGGUACAUCAAGAAUUAAAAACGUACCCGUGAUGACAUCCGAAGCAUCUCCAUCCUCACGGCGACAAGUAGCAUAGACAAAUGCAGGUUACCUCGCUUGAGUCGGCCCAGAACCUCUCCCUAGUGCUCUCUGACCUCGACCCAUAUCGUUACCACCCCUAGCCUGUCCUCAGCCCCUGGUGGCUGCUGUAUAACUCUUUACGGCUGCGCAGCCUCAACAACUGAAGCUUGCAUCUGAUUACUCCUCAAUAGACAAUCCUUUACACCAUGCUUAGUCAAACCACACCUCAAACAAGAUCCAGUAGCCCUCCAACACUCGCGUGGAUGACAUCUAUUACAGAGCUAACACAUCGCCAUCCCAACAGGAACAACAACAGUAGUGUAACACCCUUAACCCCGUCCCGUUACCAGAACAGGAUUACAGAGUAUUACCAGUCAUUACAGUAUAUUUGCACAUAAACAAGUAUAAAUGCAAUAUUAUCCAUCUAAAUAUAACUUUAAUGGGUCCACACUACUUCACAAGUGUAAUUAAAACAAACCGGGAUUCAAUCGGAAUCUUAGGAAAUUUUUCGUGAAAUUUUAAAUUUUCUUCCUUUGAACAGUACCACACGGCCGUGUGGCUAGUUUAACAUGCCCGUGCGGCUUGGGACACGCCCGUGCCCUCAACCCUGUGCAACACUGACUUUUAAACACGGCUAUGACACACAUCCGUGUGGCCUGCCCGUGUACUAAACUGGCUUUAGGACACGGCCGUGGCAACCAAGGCACACACCCGUGUAUUAACUUGGUUGUAACAAUUUAAGUGCAAGGGACACAUGGCCUAACAACAUGCCCAUGAGCAAGCCGUGCACACGCCCGUGUGACAAACCAUGUGAACUCAAAAUGAACCUUGUAUUUUAAAAUUUACCAAUCCUUCAAAUUGUAGACAACAAGCAUUUCAAAAUUUCUCCAUUCAAUCAGUCCAGACAUCCUAGGUACAUGUCAUUAUCAACAAUUAACAUACUUUACCUUAUUGAGUUCGGGAUCGGCCUGGGAUGCUGAUUCAACGAUCUGACUUUAACUUAACCUGCGCACAGAAACAAACCAUACGCUGAGUAUGAACUCAAUGGUAUUUCUAUAAUCCGAACAUUUAAAACAUAGCAUACACUUAUUGUCCUACAAUAAUCAUAAAUAUUCAUUUAUUCAUUUCAUAGAUAAUUUCUUUACAACUCAUUCAAAUUUCAUCAUCUAAUAACUUGAUUAGCUUUUCCAUUUAAUUCACAACAAUAAUAUUCUCUAUUCAUAUGUCUUACUUGUGUUUCUAUUCACUAUUCAAUAUCAAUAAACAUAUUUUAGUAUCGAUUAAUUUAUCAGUUCCUUUCAGAAACAUUUAGUCAUUCGAUAACAAUUAGUUAUCCAGUAACGAUUACUCGCUCAGUAGCAAUCAAUUAUUCGAUGACAAUCAGUAUUUUUCAAUAACAAUCAUUUAAUCACUAUUAUUUAGUAUCAGUCAUUCAUUUAUUCAGUAACAGUCAAAUAUUCAGUAGCAGUAAAUUUUUCAGUACCUUUAUUUGCCUUAUUAGCAUAACUCGGACUUGGACAGAUACACGGAUCCGACCCACACACCGGGGAUAGUAUAUAGUGUUUUAUCGGCCGAAGCCAGAAUACACCGUAAGGGUAACAGUAACAGUAACAGUAAUAGUAGCGAUACACAAAGUACUUCAUUGGAACAAAUCCAAAACAGUAACAGUAACAGUCACAGUCAGGUUCAGAGUAUCUCUUUGAAACGAAUCCGGAACAGUCACGGCAGUCGACACAUAUAGUGUCUCAUCGACACACAGUCGGAAUAUCCCUGAACACUUCCAAUUCUAUGGCAUACUAACUAUAUACGACUAGUCCGAUACAAUUAACAGGGUAUUCAGUGAACUUUCAAAUUUUCAAUUUCAUUUGUAAUUUAAUUUCAAUUCAAUUUAAUACAUUUUUCCUUAUCAAUCAACAUGCAAUUUAAUUGCAAUACAAUAUAUAUUUUGAUUCAUUUCAAUAAUCAUAAAACACAAUAAUGCUUACCUGAAUUACUUACCAUAACAUUCAAUCAAAAUAUAAUAAUUAACAAUUAAAUUUCACUUUUCAAUGCAUCAACCUACACAUUAAAUAAUAAAUUCAACAAUUAAAUAUUAAGUUCGGAUUAUAGAAACACAAACCGUGAUUUCUGAGCUAACCCUCGUUGACCUCGUCUUUUCCUUUCUUAACCGAGGAUUUUUCGGCACCCCGUUAGCUACGAAAUUAAUACAAUUUAUAAUCAUUAAUAUAGUAAAAUUUUCACAUUGAAUGUUUCAAUUUUUAUUCAACUUUUGUCUAAAUUCCAAUUUAGUCCCAAACCGAGACUAACUUUUAUUCUUCACAUUUAACUCAAUAUUUUCAUUCAAUUUUCACUUUAAACUAAUUUCAGCUCUCUAAUUUCAGCAUAAAAUCAUAAUUUCAAAAUUCUUUCAAUUUAGUCCCUACCAUUCAAAACUUAUGAAUUACUUUACAAUUCAAUCCUUAUCUCACUUCUAACUUGAAUUUCUAUCAAUUUAAUCCCUAAUUCAUCGUUUUAUUCAACAUAAACAAUAUUUAAAAAUCUAAUAACUUUCAAUAUAUCAAUUUAAUUUCAUCAAAAACUUAUUUCAAAGCUUCUAAAACAUCAAAAUUAAGUAAAAAGGGCUAAAUUGACUUACCUAUUAAACUUCCAAGCUUCAAACCUUCAAUUUUUCCUUUCUUCUUUCUUUCUCCUUUCCUUCCCCAUUUUCGUUUAAACAUUCUGUUUCUUUCAUUCUCUUUUCCUUUUCUUUAUUUCUUUUGUUUCAUUUACUUUUAUGUUUUAAUUAUAUUAUAAUAUAACAUUAUUAUUAAAUAAUAAGUAAGUAUACACGUAUAUUACAAAUGUAUAUAUAUCAUUGUUACACAUAUAAAUUAUUAUUACGACACACUUAUCUUUAUUUAAUUAUUUACUUUAAUUAAUUAAUUAUAAAAUAAUAAGACGCUAUGAAAUGUUCCUUCUGAUCUCUUGAAUUUGUCAAUGCCACAUUCUUCGCUGAGGGAAACAGAAUUCCCGAGCCAAAACUGUCGAGAAAUACCAAGAUGGGUGUCAAAUUGACUAUAGGAAAGGGAGCCCGAGCAAGGAAAGGUUUGGGAAGGUACCUGCAAGGAAUAGUCAGGGCUCUAAAGCCAGUACACCACAAGGCCAGAUACGGUUUAGGGUUCCAGCCGGACAUGCGUCAAAGAAGAAAGCAGUGGAAGAAAUAUCAAGAAAGAAGGAUCGCAAGAUCACUAGGCCGAGAACCAGAAUGGGAGCCCAUGGGAUUCCCUCAUUUGUCAAGAAUAUUUACGUCUGCAGGAAUGAUAUACCCAGGGCAGUAUAGUGCACAAAGCACAAUGAUAAUGAUCGAAGAGGGUUUUCAGAAUAUCAGUAUAAAUGUCAUUGAUAAAGGAGCUGAUGCGAGUAAAGACGUCUCAAAGAUACGCCCUUAUCCCCCGGGUUUCAUGUUGAACAAUUGGACUGCCGAGGAUCUUCUUGUAGUUUAUAAGUCUUCAUAGUAAUGCUCAAACGUUAACAUUCUGUUAUGUCCUUAGAUAUAACAGAAUUCUUUUGUAAGAGCUUGCAUUCACUCUUUAUCAUUUAAAUGAAUAUCAAUAAAGAUGCAUUUUGUCACGUUUUUUUCGCAUUAUCACUAAUUCCAUAAUCAUUUCAUAGCCUAUCUUUACAAUUGCCUCACGCCAUACCAUAACAUUCAGUUUGUUGGUUUCAAUACUUAGAUGUCCCUCUAUAGUUUCAUUUUUCCAUUCAACUUUCAGGUGCUCGGAUAUCAAUUGCACGAACAAUCUCGUUACGAGUCCUGAAAUCAAUUUUGAGAAGGCUAUUUGCUUAGGAGAAUUCGAAGCCGAAGAAAAUGCUGAAGACUAUGUCUCGUCUCCUAACUUACUAAGAAUGGUGGAAUAAGAGGAUAAACAGAUUUUGCCUCAUCAAGAAUCUGUUUAAACAAUAAAUCUGGGAACUGAAGAAAGGAAACAAGAAGUGAAGAUUGGAACUUCUAUUUCAGGGGGCACCAGGCAUAAUUUGAUUGCUUUGCUCCACGAGUACAAAGAUGUAUUCGCAUGGUCAUAUCAGGACAUGCCAGGAUUGGAUGAAAAUGUAGCGGUCCAUAAGCUCCCAUUAAAGCCAGAAUGCAAGCCCAUUCAACAAAAGCUAAGACGGAUGAGGCCUGAGAUGUUGUUGAAGAUAAAAGAGGAAGUCAAGAAGCAAUUUGAUGCUGGCUUCCUACAAGCCUCCAAAUAUCCAGAAUGGGUGGCUAACAUAGUCCCGGUACCAAAGAAAGACGGCAAAGUACGAAUGUGCGUGGAUUAUCGUGACCUGAAUCGAGUAAGUCCUAAAGAUAAUUUUCCCUUACCACACAUUGAUACGUUGGUAGAUAACACAACAAAACAUUCAUUGUUUUCUUUCAUGGAUGGAUUCUCGGGGUAUAAUCAGAUCAAGAUGGCCCCUGAGGAUAUGGAGAAAACUACCUUCGUAACAAUGUGGGGAACAUUCUGCUACAAGGUGAUGCCAUUUGGGUUAAAGAAUGUUGGGGCAACAUAUUAGAGGGAUAUGGUGACGUUAUUCCAUGACAUGAUGCAUAAAGAAAUAGAGGUCUACGUCGAUGAUAUGAUUGCUAAGUCCCGAGGGAAAGAAGAGCAUGUAGCGAAUCUGAAGAAUUUGUUCGACAGACUGAGAAAGUUCCAGCUAAAGCUCAAUCCGUCCAAAUGUACGUUUGGGGCUACUUCAGGAAAAUUGCUUGGCUUCAUUGUCAGCGAGAAAGGCAUUGAAGUUGAUCCAGAUAAAAUAAAAGCCAUUCAAGAGUUACCACCCCCGCGCAUGCAAAAGGAAGUCAGAGGAUUUUUAGGGAGAUUAAACUACACCGCCCGAUUUAUCGUUUAACUUACCAACCAAUGCGACCCAAUCUUUCGACUCCUUCGAAAACAUAAUCCCGGAGAAUGGAACAAGGAGUGCCAAGUGGCUUUUGACAAGAGAAAACAGUAUUUGUCUAAUCCUCCAGUGCUAGUACCUCCAAUGCCGGGAAGACCAUUGAUAUUGUAUUUGACUAUGUUCGAGAAGUCAAUGGGUUGCGUACUGGGGCAACACGAUGAGUCAGGAAAGAAAGAAAAGGCGAUCUACUACCUCAGCAAAAAGUUUACUGAAUAUGAGGCAAAGUAUUCGUCCAUAGAAAAAUACUGCUGCGCUCUGGUUUGGGUAGCUCGGAGACUUAGGCAAUAUAUGCUGUAUCAUAUGACAUGGCUAAUUUCAAAGUUGGACCCAAUAAAGUACAUGAUGGAAUCACCCGCACUCUCAGGAAGAAUGGCAUGAUGGCAGAUCUUAAUAUCAGAAUAUGACAUCGUCUAUGUGAGCCAAAAGUCGAUAAAAGGGAGUGCAAUAGCUGACUUCUUAGCAACUCGAACAACGGAGGAAUACUAGCCAUUGAAAUUUGAUUUCCCAGAUGAAGACUUAAUGUGCAUUACAGAAAAACAAUGUGAGUCAUCAAAAGAAAAGUCAUGGAGGAUGAGCUUUGAUGGUGCAUCGAAUGCAUUGGGGCAUGGGAUUGGAGCAGUCUUAGUAUCACCAGAAGGGAACCAUUAUCCGUUCACUGCCAGACUGAAUUUCUUCUGUACCAAUAACAUAGCGGAAUAUGAAGCUUGUAUCAUGGGACUUCGUGCAGCAAUUGAACGAAACAUCCAAACUUUAGAGGUAUACGGAGACUCAGCAUUAGUGAUUUAUCAAAUCCGUGGAGAUUGAGAAGUGAGGGAUUCAAAAUUAGUCAAAUACAGUGAUCUCGUGGCAGGGUUGAUUAAAGAAUUCAAAGAAAUAACUUUUAAUUACUUUCCACGAGAAGAAAACCAGUUAGCUGAUGCCCUGGCCGCUUUGGCUUCAAUGUUUAAAGCAAAUAGAGAAACAGAAAUAAUGCCUCUUCAAAUGAGCAUAUAUGAAGUCCCUGCAAAUUGUUUCAGCAUUGAGGAAGAGCCAGAUGGGCAGCCAUGGUUCCAUGAUAUCUUAAAAUACAUCAAGAAUCAAAGGUAUCCCGAGCAAGCAAAUGUGAACGACAGAAGAACAAUCAGAAGAAUGGCAGCGGAAUUUAUUCUUGAUGGGGACAUCCUAUACAAAAGAGGAAAAGAUCAGGUGCUCUUGAGAUGCGUGGAUACAGUUGAAGCCAGAAAAAUACUUAAAGAUGUCCAUGAAGGAAUUUGCGGGACACAUGCCAAUGGUUUCACUAUGGCCAGGAAGAUUAUAAGACUCGGAUAUUACUGGCUGUCGAUGGAAAGCGACUGCAUUAAUUUCGCACGAAAAUACCACAAAUGUCAAAUCUAUGGUGAUAAAAUUCAUGUAGCCCCUUUGCCCCUUCACGUCAUGACUUCUCUGUGGCCUUUUUCUAUGUGAGGCAUGGAUGUUAUAGGGUAAAUCUCUCCAAAAGCUUCCAAUGGACACCGGUUCAUUUUUGUGGUCAUUGAUUACUUCACAAAAUGGAUAGAAGCCGCAUCGUUUGCCAAUGUGACGAAGACUGUAGUUUGUAAAUUUUUAAAAAAGGAAAUCAUUUGUCGAUAUGGUUUGCCUGAAAGAAUCAUCUCAGAUAACGCCUUGAAUUUGAACAACAAGAUGAUGAAAGAAGUGUGUGAGCAAUUCCAAAUAAAACAUCAUAACUCCUCACCCUAUCGCCCAAAGAUGAACGGAGCUGUUGAAGCAGCCAAUAAGAAUAUUAAAACGAUUAUUAGGAAAAUGACCGAGACAUAUAAAGACUGGCACGAUAAGCUACCAUUUUCUUUGUAUGCAUAUCGUACUUCUGUGCGGACAUCUACGGGAGCAACUCCUUUCUCUCUGGUCUAUGGAAUGGAAGCUGUGCUACCCAUCAAAGUUGAGAUCCCUUCUCUACGAGUCUUAAUGGAAUUAAAAUUAGAAGAAGCAGAAUGGGUUCGAGCUCGAUAUGACCAGUUAAACCUUAUCGAAGAAAAACGUCUGCAGGCAGUCUGCCAUGGACAGAUGUACCAGAAGAGAAUGAUCGCAGCCCAUGACAAGAAGGUACGACCAAGAGAAUUCCACGAAGGAGAACUCGUGCUGAGGAAGAUUCUCCCAAUACAAAAAGAUUUCCGAAGAAAAUGGGUGCCAAAUUGGGAAGGUCCAUAUGUCGUAAAGAAGGCAUUCUCGGGCGGAGCUUUGAUCCUCACUAAGAUGGAUGGAAAAGAGUUACCGAGUCCAGUGAAUUCAGAUGCUGUAAAGAAAUAUUAUGCUUGAAAAAGGAAACCAAGAUGAAAACCCGAAAAGGGCAUAUAAAAAAAAAGAAAGAAAAAGGGUGAUCAAGGUGAAAACCUGAAAAAGGCGUCUUGAUUAAACACAAAAGAUUAGGAUGAAAACCCGAAAGGGCAUUCUAAUGAAGCAAACCCGUGCUUAAAGAACAAGGCGUUUUGAACGGUGGGUCAAAUAGUGAGACUACCAUAUUUGAAGCAUUUCUGAAAGCUCGAAAUCUUUUACGCAAGAAGCCAUGCUCAAAAAGAUUCUUGAUUGAGGAACGUGGAAGAGUUCAUGCAUUGAAUAUCUAGAGAAUUUGUAUUCGUUGAAUGCAAUCCCUCUUCUCUUUAUGACACUCUUUUACUAGCAUUAGUUAACUUUCUUUGUUUGCUACAUUUGAAGUGAAUAAAUGUGAGGUAUCCUUUUGUCCCUACCUGACCAUUUUCACGCAUCUCAUUAUGUGAUUCAUUUACAUGAUAAAUAGUGAAAUGACAUACUCUAAACGAAAGAAAUGUUAAGCAUUACCCGGGUAAGAAUUUGAUAAGUACAAGAGCCUCAACGCAAGGAAAAAGCUCAACCAGGGGCAAAAGAGUGAUAUUUGAGAAACAUUGAUUACUCGUGAAACUUGAGGACGGGUACAGGGCCUAAGGAGAAAGUCAGGAGCCGAAGUAAUGAAUACAGAUCAUCACGAAAAUCAUGAUGAAAAAGGGCAUACGACAAACAUGCCUAAGACACAUAGCAUAAUCAUGUAGGCAUAAAAUCAUUUACGAAAAACAUAUGCAUAUCAUGAUAACAUCAUGCAUGACAUAUACAGGUACUCCAGUAGGGCAAGAAGAUGUGAUGAUAGCUGAAAAGACACAUGAGUUCCACCAGAUGACAUGUUCUGGUAUUCUGAUGUUUUAUUUCAAAAUUUAAUUCAUAUUGCGAGAGGUGAGUUGAGCCUCAGGACACGCUGAGGUAUUUUCAAUUUCUGUUGUCAAAAAAAUCAACCCGUAUUGGGAGAGGUGAGUUGAGCCUCGGGACACGCUGAGGUAUUGUCAAAUUUUCGUAUGUUUCAAAAAAAUCAACUCAUAUUGCGAGAGGUGAGUUGAGCCUCAGGACACGCUGAAGUAUUUUCAAUUUCUGUUGUCAAAAAAAUCAACUCAUAUUGCGAGAGGUGAGUUGAGCCUCAGGACACGCUGAGGUAUUGUCAAAUUUUCGUAUGUUUCAAAAAAAUCAACUCAUAUUGCAAGAGGUGAGUUGAGCCUCAGGACACGCUGAAGUAUUUUCAAUUUCUGUUGUCAAAAAAAUCAACUCAUAUUGCGAGAGGUGAGUUGAGCCUCAGGACACGCUGAGGUAAUUUCAAUUUCUGUUGUCAAAAAAAUCAACUCGUAUUGCGAGCGGCGAGUUGAGCCUCAAGUCACACGCCGAGCUAUUUUCAAUUUCCGUUUUUCAAUUUCUGCCUUUCAAAAAAAAAUCAACUCAUAUUGCGAGAGGUGAGUUGAGCCUCAGGACACGCUGAGGUAAUUUCAAUUUCUGUUGUCAAAAAAAUCAACUCGUAUUGCGAGCGGCGAGUUGAGCCUCAGGUCACACGCCGAGGUAUUUUAAAUUUCCGUUUUUCAAUUUCUGCCUUUCAAAAUAAAAUCGACUCAUAUUGCGAGAGGUGAGUUGAGCCUUGGCUCACGCGCUGAGCUAUUUUCAAUUUCUGUUUUUCAAAAAAAUCAACUCAUAUUGCGAGAGGUGAGUUGAGCCUUAGAUCACACGCCGAGGUAUUUUCAAUUUCCGUUUUUCAAUUUCUGCCUUUCAAAAAAAAAUCGACUCAUAUUGCGAGAGGUGAGUUGAGCCUUGGCUCAUGCGCUGAGCUAUUUUCAAUUUCUGUCUUUCAAAAAAAUCAACUCGUAUUGCAAGCGGCGAGUUGAGCCUCAGGUCACACGUCGAGGUAUUUUCAAUUUUUGUUUUUCAAUUUCUGCCUUUCAAAAAAAAAUCGACUCAUAUUGCGAGAGGUGAGUUGAGCCUUGGCUCACGCGCUGAGCUAUUUUCAAUUUUUGUCUUUCAAAAAAAUCAACUCAUAUUGCGAGAGGUGAGUUGAGCCUCAGAUCACACGCCGAGGUAUUUUCAAUUUCUAUUUUUCAAUUUCUGCCUUUCAAAAAGAAAAUCGACUCAUAUUGCGAGAGGUGAGUUGAGCCUUGGCUCACGCGCUGACCUAUUUUCAAUUUCUGUCUUUCAAAAAAAUCAACUCAUAUUGCAAGAGGUGAGUUGAGCUUCAAAUCACACACUGAGGUAUUUUUUUAUUCAAUUUAUAUUUUUCAAAAAUCAACUCAUAUUGCGAGAGGUGAGUUGAGCCUUGAGUCACAUAUCGAGGUAUUUUCAAAAUUUUCUUUUCAAGUUAAGUUUCAAAAAUCAACUCAUAUUGCGAGAGGUGAGUUGAGCCUUGGCUCACGCGCUAAGCUAUUUUCAAUUUCUAUUUUUAGAGAGUCAAUUCAUAUUGCGAAAAUGAGUUGAGCUCAGGAGCACAUGCCGAGUAGAGAAUAAAGAUUGAAGCUGAUUGAAGACGUCAGAUUCUGUCUCCUUAAAGUUGCAGUGGAGUUGUUCAAGGACAUCAGAUCUUGCCUUUCUGAAGUCGCAGAAGAAAAGACCACAAACCUUAUCUCACUGAAGCGAUAGAAGAGCAGAUUCAAGUUGUAGAUCUCACCUUUCUGAAAUUACAGUGAAGUAGGUCGAAGCCAUAAAUUUCAUAUCCUUGAAGUUACAUUGGAACAGAUUGAAGCUACAAGGCGUAUAUCAUAAGAUGCAGUGGAGUGAACCAAAGCUACAAGAUGCGGUGGACUGAAAAGGGACUAACUAAACAAGAAGAGUUCCAAAGCAAGUCAAGACCUAGCAAGACCGGGCAAAUUUGGUCUUCCUUGAAAGUCUUUGCUCUAUUCUUUUUGCACGACAAUGAGCAAAGAGGGGCAGCUGUAGAAGCCCAAAUUGCCCGAGCCCGAUUUCAUCAAAACCCAACCAAACCUCUAAACCCACUAAAACCCUUAACCCAUGACCCAUUUACAUCUACCCAAACCCAUUACAAAACCCAAAUAUUAAACCCAAUUCAAAAGCCCAUUAAGCCCCCCCAAAAAAAAAACUAAAAAGAAAAACCUAACCCAAAAAAAAAACCAAGAAACCCUAGCCACCUAGCCACUUUCCCACUUGCCCUAUUUUUCCUCCCAUUUUUGAUAUCCAUUGUCUACCACCACCACCUACAAAAUAGAAAAAGAAAUAAUAGAAAAUCAUGUAAAAGAUGGCUAUAAAAAGCCAUUCAAAAAUCAUGUUUGGGGGGAGGGGGAAUUUUGAUCAAUGCAAAGAAUUUAUCUUCAUUUUUGCAUCAAUAUUAGUAGAUUAAAACCAAGAAAGAAAGUGGAUAGUGUCGAAUACAAAUAAAAAAUCUCAGAAAUCGAAAGCUAAAAAAUACCCAAAGGUGAUUUUAUCUUUUUUAUUAUUUUACUCUUAUUUUUAUUUUUAUUUUAUUUUUUCCCUUUUUUUUCGAAUCUAUUAAUCUAUAUAUAUACAUCAUAAUAAAAAUAUAAUAAAAAUAUAUAUACAAAAAAAAUAUUUUAAAAAAAAUUUACCUUUUCCAGCCACCACGUGUGGUGGCCGGCGCCGGCGACGGACGGCGGCCGACGGUCGGACGGUGACCGGCCUUGUGGCCGGAAAUCACCUCAACCCUCUCCCUCUCUCUCUUUUUUUGCUUUUCAAGUCCAAGAAUGAAUUUUUUUUUUUGAAUAAAAAAAGGCCUUUUAUAGCCCCCAAAACGACGUCGUUUUGACUUGGAUCGGUUCGACCCGACCCGACCCGCUUAGGAUCCGCGUGUUUUUUUAAGGAAGGGCUAAUUGCGCUUUUAGCCCUUCCGCUUUUUAUUGUUUGCAAUUAAGUCAUUAUUCGUUUUUUUAAUUUGGCCCCAAAAUUUAUCGCGAUUUUCAAUUUAGUCCCCGCUAAUGUGCUGAGUUUUGAUGGGAAGGAAUAUUUGUUGUUUUGGCCCCCCACUAUUUCCGCUCAUGUUCAAUAUAGUCCUUUCCUUUUAUUUUUAUUUCAAUUUUGCCCCAAAUAUUUUGUUUUUAGUUCAAUUUAAUUCUUUUUAGUUACUUUACUAUUUAAAUUAAUUAUUUUAGUAUUAUUAUCAUAUUUCAUUUACUUAUGUAGUGUGUUAAUAAUUUUUUAUCAUUUCUAAUACGUAUAUAUAUAUUAUAUGUAUUUUAUAUAUAUUAUGUAUAUAUAUUUUUUUAAAUGCCAUUAGUUAUAUAUUUCUUAUACUAUUCCAUGUAUGUAUUUUAUAUCAUCUUAUGUAUCUUAAAUACUAUUGUAUAUACAUAUAUAUAUAUUUAAAUAUCAUAUUGUGUAUAUAUUAUUAUUACAAAUUAUUACUAUUACUAGUAUUAUUAUAACUAUUAUUAUAUUAGUGUAUAUUUUAUGUACAUAUGUGUAUAUAUAUAUUGUACAUAUUAUUAUUUUAUAUUAUUAUUACCAAAUAUAUCAUUUUUCCUAUUUUAUUAUUAGUACAUGAUUUGUUUUUGUUUUUAUUUUUUGUAAAUAUCAUUAUUAUUGUUAUUCUAAUAUUCUAGUAUUCCACGUUAAUAUUUUUCAUUAAUGAUAUCAUUUUUUUUUGCGUCCUUUAUCUAUUUUUAAUUUUUCACUUUAGGAAUAUUUUUUCUCAUGUUUUAAUUAAUUUCGAAAAUAAGGCAAUGUACCGAUUUAAUAUUAAGCCAUCGAUUUCAUCGCUAUGAUGGGUGAAAUUUGUCGGCUUGUGUUAAAAAAACGGGACACCCUUUCUAAUAAAAAAAUCGAAAACUAAAAAUUCUCAUUUUUCAAUUGGAUCACGAGUAAAUGUCUAAUUGAAUUCGUACUUUUCAAAAUCAAGACAACACGAGUUUAACAAGAUACCAAUUUUGGGCGUCGCAAGGGUGCUAAUACCUUCCUCGCGCGUAACCGACUCCCGAACCCAACUUUACUCUGGCUUUUGACGUAGACCUAAAUUCGGCCUUCAUUUUUGUGCAAGAAUAAGUUUUCUUUUCUAAAAAAGGAUGAUUUAUUAAGUGUCCGAUCACACCUAGAAAAAAGAUCGGUGGCGACUCUCUUUUUUAAUAAAAUUGAAAGUAGAUUUUUAAAUUUUUAAAUUUUCAAAUAAUCGCCUCAAUUAGCGACCGAAAGAGAAUUUUUUACGUCGCUACAAGAUAUAUACAACAUAGUUGCCCGAUGACAAGUCAAUAGCCUUUCAGUCUUCCUUCUCUUCAACAACAAACCCAACCUAACCCAAUGCAAUGCAAUAUAAAUAAUAUGGUAUGCUUAUGUGCAGACAUCAGAUCAUAACAUUGUCAUCAAAUUAGAACAGAUACACAUGCUUUAAUUAUCAUACUCUUACGUACAUCUUAGUAUCAGAUCAGAGUAUAGGGGUCUAAGUAUUGCUUACCGACCCUACCAACAGGUUACAGUCGACUUGGGCGACCCGUGCAACCUUGCAGAACAUUCCAAACAACUCGGGCUCACACGUCUGUGUGCCUUGCCCGUGUGGGCCCACAUGCCUGUGUGGCUCAUACGGCCCAGAUUGGCCUUACCCGUGUCGAUCAUAUGGCCUGGCCCAAGAUCUCACACUCUCCUGUGGUUCAUCCGUGUGGUCCACACGGCCCAGUUGGUCAAGCCCGUGCCUCACACACAGCCUCGCCAGCCUCACACGCCAGUGUCCGUCGUGCCCGUGUGGCAUACGCACGGUCUACUUCUUCGACCACACGGUCGUGUCUCGCCACAUGACCUCCACACGGGUAGUCCACACUCCCAUGUGGCGUCGACAGCAGUGUUUUCAGCUUUCACCGAAACGCGACUUCAGAUCGAUUGGAGUACACACCUGGUUUUGAUUGCAGCCUAACGCAAUCCUGAGCCCUUCAGAAGCUAUAUUCAACAAUGUCAAGACCCAUUUCAGUCAGUUAAACAAUGUUUGAUUGAAGCUAAACGAGGUAUUCCGCACCGAAAUCGGUAAAUUCCUUACCUCGAGCAAAAACUAGCGAAUACUACGCGCUUAACUCGCUGUUCAGGAACGAAGAACAGCCCCUUGAUCUGUACCUAAACACCCAAACAAAAUUUCCCUUUAAUCUCUUAAUCAAAAUGAUGCUUACGAACGACAAGCAAAAACUUACCAAUGAGGAGAAUGUCAAUGAAAUGCAGAAGCCCGUUAAUACGAAAUCAAAAUGAAUGAGAGGAAGGCAAGGGAAAUUUCGGCAAAAAGAAAAGGAAAAGAACGUGGAGAGGGGAACAAUAGUAGAGAAUUUCGACAAAGAGAGAGUUCUUUUGGGGAAACUACUCAGAAAAAUCUGAUAAACCUUACCACUUCAGAAUUUUAGUUCACCUCCAAUUCUCUCACGGCCUUAGUGGCAAGAGUAAUGCCCAAGCUAGGAUUCGAACACAGGACUUCUAGCAUAAACCUUUUCCACUUAACCACUAGACCAGCCGGCCCAUUCUGUUAAGUUUUUACCAAAAAAUCCUUAUAAGCUUAUUAACCAAAAGCCAAGCUUUACUUAAACAAAAAUUUUGCCCAAGUUGAGACUUGAACUUGGGACUUCCCUAACACACCCUCAAAGCACUUAAACACAAAAGCAGACAUAUAUUAGGUAAAUUCAUGCAAAAACAUAUUCAGAUAUUUUCCAAUGCUACAAUUUUACAAAAACCGAAAUUAUCAAAAUCUGGGGUGUUACAACUCUACCCCUUAAAGAAAAUUUGUCCUCGAAUUUUACCUGGUUAGAAAAGGUGAGGAUAUCGCUGACGCAUUGAAUCCUCUGGCUCCCAAGUAGCCUCCUCAGUGCUAUGAUUCUGCCACAGCACCUUCACUAAGGGAACAAACUUCCUACGCAGAACUUUGACGUCGCAAUCCACAAUUUGAACUGGCUCAUUCUCGAAUGUCAGAUCUGGUCUAACCUCAAUUUCAUCCAUAAGCACAAUGUGCGUAGGAUUAGAGUAGUAACAUCUCAACAUCGAGACAUGAAAGACAUCGUGAAUACGAUCUAACUCUGGAGGUAACUCCAACUAAAACGCAACUGGCCCCACUCGUUUCAGAAUUCGGUACUGCCCAAUAAACCGGGGACUCAACUUACCUUUGCGACCGAACUUCAGAACCUUUCUCCAAGGCGAGACCUUAAGGAAAACCAAGUCCCCCACAGAAUACUCGAUAUCGUUCCUCUGCAAAUCAGCAUAGGACUUCUGUGUAUUCGAAGCCGCUUUCAGUCGAUCCUGAAUCAAACAAACCUUACUUUUAGUCUCUGAAACCAACUCCGGACCCAGAACACGUCGCUCACCCAACUCAAUCCAGCACAAAGUGGUGCAACACUUACGACUAUAAAGUGCCUCAUAAGAAGCCAUCUGAAUACUAGACUGAUAGGUGUUAUUGUAAGCGAACUCUGCUAAGGGCAAGUACUCCUCCUAACUAACUUGGAAAUCUAUAACACAGCCCCUCAACAUGUCCUCCAGUAUCUAAAUCACCCUCUCCGGCUGACCACCUGUGUGAGGAUGAAAUGAAGCACUGAAGUCAAGUCGUGAACCCAAAGCCUCAUAAAGCUUCCACUAAAAUCAAAAAGUAAACCGAGGAUCCCUAUCGGAGAUAAUCGACACUGGAACCCCAUGUAGUCUUACUAUCUCUAAGAUGUAAAGUUUAGAAAACUUCUGUAAAGAGAAGUCUGCCCUAACAGGAAUGACGUGUGCAGACUUGGUCAAUCGAUCCAUGACGACCCAAACAGAAUCCUUCUUAGUGGGUGUUAGUGGCAACCCACUAACGAAAUCCAUCGUCAUUCGCUCACAUUUCCAUGUAGGUAUCUUAACAGGCUGUAGUAACCCCGAAGGCAACUGAUGCUCAGCCUUAACCUGCUGACAAGUCAGACAGCGUGCAACGAAAUUGGUCACCUCAUGCUUCAACCCUAGCCACUAGUACAACUCUCGGAGAUCUUUAUACAUCUUAUUUCCACCAGGAUACAUAGCGUAAGAACUACGAUGCGCUUCCCUUAAAAUCGACAGCCUCAAAUCCUCAUCAUUAGGUACACAGAUCCUACUUCGGAAGCACAAUACCCCUUCACUAUUCAGCCCAAAAUCUGUAGUAGUCCCACUCUUAACCUGACGAAAUCGUAUCUCGAGAGUCUUAUCCUCUAACUGCUUAGCUCUAAUCUUCUCAAUCCAUGUCGGCUUCACUUGAAGCUCUGCCAGAAGACUCCUAUCAUUAUAAAGACUCAGUCGAGCAAAAAAAGCUCUCAAAUCAGCCACAGCCCUACGGCUUAAUGCUUCGACCACCACAUUGGCCUUUUCAGGGUAAUACUAUAUACUAUAGUCGUAAUCCUUAAGCAGCUCAACCCAUCGUCACUGCCUAAGAUUUAACUCCUUUUGAAUGACCAGAUGCUUGAGGCUCUUGUAAUCAGUGUAUAUGGUACACCUCUCACCGUGCAGAUAGUGCCUCUAAAUCUUUAAUGCAAAGACGACUACAGCCAACUCCAAAUCAUGCGUCGGAUAAUUAUCCUCAUGAGUCUUAAGUUAUCGAGAUUUAUAGGCAACUACCUUAUCGUAUUAAAUCAAGACACAACCCAAACCCACAUGUGACGCACCACUGUAAACCACGAAAUCCCUACCAGGCUCAGGCUGUAUCAGAACUGGAGUCUGAGUUAACAUGGUUUUGAGCUUCUCAAAGUUCUCCUACUGUGCAUCAGUCCAAACAAAGGAAACUCCCCUACACAGUAACUUAGUCAAAGGCGCUGCAAUUAAAGAAAACCCUUCUUCGAAACGUCGAUAAUAUCCUUCCAGUCCCCGAAAACUACGAAUCUCCGACAUAUUCUUCGGCUAUUUCCAAUCCAGCACAGCCUCAAUCUUACGAGGAUCAACACGAAUCGCCCCAGCAGACACCACAUGUCUCAAAAAGAUUACUUCCUGAAGCUAAAACUCACACUUAGAGAACUUUGCAUAAAGCUGUUUCUUACGAAGGAUCUGCAGAACAACCCUGAGAUGCUCAUCGUGCUCGUCCUCAUACUUAGAGUAAAUCAAGAUGUCGUUGAUAAACACCACCACGAACUGGUCUAAGUAGGACUAAAACACCCGGUUCAUCAAGUCUAUUAAUGUCGCUGGUGUAUUAGUCAACCCAAAAUGCAUAACCAAAAACUCGUAAUGUCCAUAACGAGUCCUAAAUACCGUCUUAAGCACAUCGUCCUCCUUAACCCUUAACUGAUGAUAACCUGAUCGUAAAUCGAUCUUGGAGAACAUCGAAGCCUCUUUGAGCUGAUCGAAUAAAUCGUCUAUCCCCGAAAGUGGGUAUUUAUUCUUAAUCGUCAACUUACUCAACUGACGGUAAUCGAUACACAUCCUCAUCGUACUGUCCUUCUUCUUUACAAACAGAACAGGUGCUCCCCAUGGAGACACACUGGAACGAAUAAACCCACGAUCCAACAGCUCCUGAAUCUGAGCCUUCAGUUUUGCCAGCUUCUUUGGUGCCAUUCGACAAAGGGCAAUAGACACCGGAGCUGUACCAGGAAUCAACUCAAUACCAAAAUUUACCUCAUGACUCGGAGGCAAUCCCGGUAGUUCCUCUGGAAAAAUAUCUGGAAAGUCCUUCACAGUACGAAUGUCCUUAACCGAAGAGUCCACAGAAUCAGAAACACUGAUGUAGGCCAAGUAUGCCUCACAUCCCUUUCUUACAAGCUUCUCCGCUACCAACAUAGAUAUCACAUUACUCAAAUAAUUUCGUAGUUCUCCAAUCACGACUAUCUCAUCGUCCUCCUCGGUCCUCAGAACAACCCUCUUUUCAGCACAAUCCAGACUUACACGAUGCUUCACCAACCAGUCCAUGCCCAGAAUUAAGUCGAACUCCUCAAACGAAAGUUCCAUCAGAUCAGCCAAGAAUACCGUUACUUAAACUUCCAACGGAACGUCUUUAAACAAUUUAUUAACCCUAAUAGAGUUCCCCAAUAGGCUCACCGCUGAAAUCUCACAAGAAGUGCUCUCAUACGGAAUCCCCAAAGUCUCAGACACAGAACAUGCAACAUAGGAAUGUGUAAAGCCUAUGUCUAUUAGUGCAACAUAAGGUACAUCAAGAAUUAAAAACGUACCCGUGAUGACGUCUGGAGCAUCUCCAUCCUCAAGGGGACAAGUAGCGUAGACAAAUACAGGCUGCCUCGCCUGAGUCGGCCCAGAACCUCUCCCUAGUGCUCUUCGACCUCGACCCAUAUCGUUACCACCCCUAGCCUGUCCUCAGCCCCUUGUUGGCUGCUGUACAACUCUUUACGGCUGUGCAGUCUCAACAACCGGAGCGUGCAUCUGAUUACUCCUCAGUGGACAAUCCUUCACAUGAUGCUCAGUCGAACCACACCUCAAACAAGCUCCAGUAGCCCUCCAACACUCGCGUGGAUGACGUCUAUUACAGAGCUAACACAUCGCCAUCCCAACAGGAACAACAACAGUAGUGUAACACCCUUAACCCCGUCCCGUUACCAGAACAAGAUUAAAGAGUAUUACCAGUCAUUACAGUACAUUUGCACAUAAACAAGUAUAAAUGCAAUAUUAUACAUCUAAAUAUAACUUUAAUGGAAUUAAAACAAACCGGGAUUCGAUCGGAAUCUUGGGAAAUUUUUCGUGAAAUUUUAAAUUUUCUUCUUUUGAACAAUACCACACGCCCGUGUGGCUAGUUUAACAUGCCCGUGCGGCUUGGGACACACCCGUGCCCUCAACCCGUGUGCAACACUUACUUUUAAACACGGCCAUGACACACAUCAGUGUGGCCUGCCAGUGUACUAAACUGGCUUUAAGACAGGACCGUGGCAACCAAGGCACACGCCCGUGUAUUAACUUGGUUGUAACAAUUUAAGUGUAGGGGACACACGGCCUAACAACAUGCCCAUUUGCAAGCCGUGUGUCUCAUACGGCCUGGUCACACGCCCUUGUGACAAACCAUGUGAACUCAAAAUGAACCUUGUAUUGUAAAAUUUACCAAUUCUUCAAAUUGUAAACAACAAGCAUUUCAAAAUUUCUCCAUUCAAUCAGUCCAGACAUCCUAGGUACAUGCCCAUUAUCAACAAUUAACAUAAUUUACCUUAAUGAGUUCGGGAUCGGCCUGGGAUGCUGAUUCAACGAUCUAACUUUAACUUAACCUGCGCACGGAAACAAACCCUACGCUGAGUAUGAACUCAGUGGUAUUUCUAUAAUCCGAACGUUUAAAACAUAGCAUACACUUAUUGUCCUAUAAUAAUCAUAAAUAUUCAUUUAUUCAUUUCAUAGAUAAUUUCUUUACAACUCAUUCAAAUUUCAUCAUCUAAUAACUUGAUUAGCUUUUCCAAUUAAUUCACAACAAUAAUAUUCUCUAUUCAUAUGUCUUUCUUGUGUUUCUAUUCACUAUUCAAUAUCAAUAAACAAAUUUUAGUAUCGAUUAAUUUAUUAGUUUCUUUCAGAAACAUUUAUUCAUUCGAUAACAAUUAGUUAUCCAGUAACGAUUACUCGCUCAGUAGCAAUCCUUUACUCAGUAGCAAUCAAUUAUUCGAUGACAAUCAGUAUUUUUCAAUAAAAAUCAUUUAAUCACUAUUAUUUAGUAUCAGUCAUUCAUUUAUUUAGUAACAGUCAGAUAUUCGGUAGCAAUAAAUUUUUCAGUACCUUUAUUUGCCCUAUUAACAUAACUCGGACCUGGACGGAUACACGGAUCCGACCUCGACGGAUACAUGGAUUUGACCCACACACCGGGGAUAGUAUACAGUGUUUCAUCAGCCGAAGCCGGAAUACACCGUAAGGGUAACAGUAACAGUAACAGUAAUAGUAGCGGUACACAAAGUACCUCAUUGGAACAAAUCCAAAAGAGUAACAGUAACAGUCAUAGUCAGGUACAGAGUAUCUCUUCGGAACGAAUCCGGAACAGUCAUAGUAGUCGACACAUAUAAUGUCUCGUCGACACAUAUAGUGUCUCGUCGACACAUAUAAUGUCUCAUCGACACACAGUCAGAAUAUCCCUGAACAGUUCCAAUCCUAUGGCAUACCAACUAUAUACGACUAGCCCGAUACAGUUAAUAGGGUAUUCAGUGAACUUUCAAGUUUUCAAUUUCAUUUGUAUUUUAAUUUCAAUUCAAUUUAAUACAUUUUUCCAUAUCAAUGAACAUGCAAUUUAAUUUCAAUACAAUAUAUAUUUUGAUUCAUUUCAAUAAUCAUAAAACACAAUAAUGCUUACCUGAAUUGCUUACCACAACAUUCAAUCAAAAUAUAAUAAUUAACAAUUAAAUUUCACUUUUCAAUGCAUCAACCUACACAUUAAAUAAUAAAUUCAACAAUUAAAUAUUAAGUUCGGAUUAUAGAAACACAAACCGUGAUUUCUGAGCUAACCCUCGUUGACCUCGUCUUUUCCUUUCUUAACCGAGGAUUUUUCGGCACCCCGUUAGCUACGAAAUUAAUACAAUUUAUAAUCAUUAAUGCAGUAAAAUUUUCACGUUGAAUGUUUCAAUUUUUAUUCAACUUUUGUCUAAAUUCCAAUUUUGUCCCAAACCUAGACUAACUUUUAUUUUUCACAUUUAACUCAAUAUUUUCAUUUAAUUUUCACUUUAAACUAAUUUCAUCUCUCUAAUUUCAGCAUAAAACCAUAAUUUCAAAAUUCUUUCAAUUUAGUCCCUACUAUUCAAAACUUAUGAAUUACUUUACAAUUCAAUCAUUAUCUCACUUCUAACUUGAAUUUCAAUCAAUUUAAUCCCUAAUUCAUCAUUUUAUUCAACAUAAACAAUAUUUAAAAAUCUAAUAACUUUCAGUAUAUCAAUUUAAUUUCAUCAAAACCUUAUUCCAAAGCUUCUAAAACAUUAAAAUUAAGUAAAAAUGGCUAAAUUGACUUACCUAUUAAACUUCCAAACUUCAAACCUUUAAUUUUUCUUUUCUUCUUUCUUUCUUUUUUCCUUCCCCAUUUUUUUAAACAUUCUGUUUCUUUCAUUCUCUUUUCCUUUUCUUUAUUUCUUUUGUUUCAUUUACUUUUAUGUUUUAAUUAUAUUAUAAUAUAAUAUUAUUCUUAAAUAAUAAGUAAGUAUACACGUAUAUUACAAAUGUAUAUAUAUCAUUGGUACACAUAUAAAUUAUUAUUACCAUACACUUGUCUUUAUUUAAUUAUUUACUUUAAUUAAUUAAUUAUAAAAUAAUAAUAUUUACUUAAAUAAUAAGUAAAUACAUACAUGUAUUACAAAUGUAUGCACAAUAUUUAUUACACAUGUAUUUUAUUUUUAUCACACACUUGGCAUUCACUUUGGCUUAUUUACUUAUUUAGUCCCUUUAAUUUUCUUUAUUCUAUAAUUAAACUUUCACAUUAUAUUCAAUUUAAUCAUUUUUCCUAAUCACUCUUAAUUAAAUUAAACUUACUUAAUUAAACUCUAAUUAACCACUCAUUUUACUUCGUAAAUAUUUUUAAUAAAUAUUUACGAAUCCAUUUUUCAAAAACGGAGACCCAAAAAUACACUUUUCGGUAAUAGUAAAAUUUGGGUCAUUACAAGUAGGCCCAGCUCUCACGAGCCCAUCAGUCCUGGCCUUUUUAUUAGGCCUCAUCCCAGUAUUCGAAGGCUCAGAAUCCCACUUAGCCUUCCUUUUUUCACGGUUUUGGCGCUCAGAGCGCUUUACCUCCUCGGCUAUCUUGGCCUUCUCGACCAAGGCGGAGAAAUCCCGCUCCCUCUGUGGAGCUAUCAGAACUCGCAGGCUAUCACGGAGACCAUCCUCAAAUCAGACACAACGCUCAUACUCGGUUGCCACCAUGCCCCUCGCAUAACGGCUCAAUCUAAUGAACUCAGCCUCGUACUCAACCACUGAACAGUCACCCUGAGUGAGAUUUAGGAACUCACGUCGCCUAGCCUCAGUGUAGCUAGCUCCCACGUACUUAUUCUGAUAAGUGGUCUUAAACAUAUCUCAAGUUAGUCGGUCGGGCUGAGUGCCCUCCUUAACGGAUAGCCACCACUGAUACGCCUCAUCUCGCAGCAAUGACACAACCCCUUAAGCUUCUGUUCAUCAGAAAAGUCCAGAUCGUCCAUGAUAUGCUCUGUGGCCUCCAUCCAAUACUCAGCCAAACUCAGAGCAACUCCAGCGAUGCUGCUGAAUAUCACAACCCCAUUCGACCCAUGAUAACCCGAAUUAGGGCCUAAUCAAAAUAGUGGUUUUGGGGCCACAAAAUUCAAGAUAGAAAUAAUUAUUUUAUGAUUAUUUUGAGGUCUAUGAUAUUAUUGCAAGAUUGUGUGAAAAUUUCGUGAAGAAAUUCUAUGCAUAAAGUGCUUAAUUUGAAGUUAGGGACCAAAUUGAAUAAGUUGCAAAACUUGCAUUCUAGAAUUUUCUAGUAUGAAAUUGCUUUGAAAUAUUAAUUAGGAGGUCUCAAAUAGCAAUUUGACCAAUUUCUAAGUUUAUGGACAAAAAUUGGAAAUGGAUGAAAAUUUUGAAAGUUUAGUAAGGAAGGGCAUUUUGGUCAUUUGGAUAUUAAAUGAAAUAAAAUGGGAAAAAUAACACAAAAAUGAUCAUCUUCUCCAUAAGUUGCUGCCGAAUUUUGCUCUCCACCAUAUCUAGGGUUUCAACACUUUUAAGCCUUGAUUGUAAGUGAUUUCUAUGCCCGUUUUUAAUGUUCUUUACAUUUUUGAAAUCCUCGUAGCUCAGUUACUUAUUUCUACCAAUAUUUUGAGUUAGGGUUUAUAUUUAAAAUUUUACCCAUGGAUGAUAUGUAUGAAUUUCGAUGUUUUAUGGUAGAAUAUGAAGUUUGAGAUUGUGUUAAACAACUUUUGCUAAGUGAUUUUUCGUAAAAACGAGUAAAAUGACAUAAUCGGUAAAAAUACCUAAUAUUCAUAAGUACAUGUUAGAGUGUGAAUUUGAUGUUGCUAUAGAAGGGAAAAAUGACCAACAUGUCAUAAAACAUAAGAAAAUAGGAUGAGGUUUAAUUUAUGAGCCUUGGGGUAAAAGUGUAAAUAUGUGAAAGUUUAGGGGUAAAAUGGUAAUUUUUCCAAAGUUCGUACUAGGGGAUUUUUUGAUGAAUGUGUGUAUUAAAUAAAUUAAUUUGGUAUUAUAGAUCAAGAGAAAAGAGAUUCGAGUCGAGAUCGGGGGAAAAAUAAAGUUUACGAGGAAUAGGCUCGACUAUUCUCAUUUUGUAUCGAGAUAAGUUCUUAUGUAAAUAUUGUAAUAUAACCGUUAUUUUAAAUCAUUUAAUGCUAUUUAUACGAUAUUAUGAUUGUUAUCAUGCAAUUCUAUGUUUUGUGGUCAUUGUUAGACAACAUGCAAAAAUUUUAUGAAUUAUGUGAAAAAUGUGAAAAACUACCGAAGUAUCGUCAUUGGUAUUCCAAGGAGAAUGGUAAAGGAGUACGAACGAGGAAAGUCCCGUUGAACCUUAGGAAUAGAUUAGGAUAUUUGGGCAUCCGAGCUCGUUGAGUUGAGUCUGAGUUCACUUAUGGAUGCGAACGCCCGAGCUCGUUGAGUUGAGUCCGAGUUCGUGAGAUGUAACUAGGCAUCCGAGCUCGUUGAGUUGAGUCCGAGUUCACUUAUGGAUGCGAAUGCCUGAGCUCAUUGAGUUGAGUCCGAGUUCACUUAUGGCCAGGUUACAUGGUAGCUUGGCUACAUAUGUGGCACUUAUGUGCAAAUUUUCCAUGUAUCCGAGUUAUAUUCCGAUGUGUUUAACGGGUAAAAUUCUAGUGAAAUGGAAGAAUACUCAAGAUGCAAGUGACGUAUUGGUAAGUGUUGUGGAAUGGACACUUUGGAUAGGUAUGUACUUAAUCCUCAGGUUGAGACUUGAUACGACAACAAUAAUAUGGUAAGAUGAUGAAUGAUGAAUAGAAAUGUGAUAUAGGUUUUGGUGAUAUUAUGCUAAUGUUGGUUGGUAUAAUUGCUUUGUUAAGUUAUUUGUUAUUUGCAUGUGGACUUACUAAGCAUCUAUGCUUACUCCCUCCUUUUCAUUCUUUGUAGUUUUGACAAGUCAAUUUGGAGAUCGGGACGGUCGGAGGCACGCUCACACUAUCACUAGACAAUCGCGGUAUAAUGACUUGAAAUUUUGGAAAUAUGGCAUGUAUAGCAUUCCAAUCAUUUAGUGUGUAUAAUCUUACGAUAUGGCCCAUGGAUGGAAUGGAAAUUUUUGAGAAUGAUUAGCUAUUGGAAUAGCUAAUCAAGUUUAUAUAUGAUAACAUGUAUGCUUUAUGUCUUAACUAAACCAUGAAAAUCCUUGGAAAGGUAAAAUUGGCCACAAAACAGAAUCAGACAGCAGUAGUGAUGUGAAUUUGAAAAAUCACUAAAAAUAUUAUAAAUGGAAUUAAAUGAUGAAUAAGUUAUGGAAUCGAAUCUUGAUGAGUCUAUUUUCAUAUGGAAUAAACAAAACAGGUAAAUGAGUUAUAUUUUUUGAGAUAUUUAAGUUUUGGCGGAACAGGGUCAGAGCGAUCUCUGAAUCCCUUGUUCUAACUUUAAAAAUUCACCAUAAAUUGUAAAAAAAUAAUUAGGAGUUUUACCUUACAUGUAUGAAAUCCUUAUUGAAUCUAGUUUUAUGAUAAAAAAUGGCAUAGUCAUUGAAACUCUGGACAGGGAGAUAUCAGAUUCGUAAUACACAAGGGUCAGAGUAGCCGAACCCUGAAACAGGGGAGACUUUAACUAAUAAACUGUACUAAUUGGCCUGACCAAAAAUUCUAGAAACAAAUUAGAAAGUAGGUAUAUGAGUCUAGUUUCAGGAAAAAUUUACGGAAUUGAAUUUCAAGUUUUGUAACUCGAGAUAUGGAUUUUUUAGCGACUGUGAUGCAGUUAGCCAACUUGUCUGAAAAUUUUAAAAUAAAUUGUUUGAGCUGUUUAAUUAACGAAUUAUGUUCGUUAACUCCUCGUGCUCGACUCUGGUGAUGGUCUCGGGUACGGGGCAUUACACGACCUGAGUCGUUCCGUAACCGACCCACGGCCUCCAGAUCUAGUAUUAGCCCCAGCGACCCUCUCUAGAAUUCGCAGCAUUUCCUAGGACAGUGCGUCGUCCCCAACUGCUCGGUCCUGAGACUCAGCACCAGUCUCAGUAACAGGUGACACCGGUGUCUCGCUAGUGUCCAAAUUAGGGAUCACAUCAGAUGCGAAAGACUCAGCUCGAAUCCCUCUACGGCCUCUACCUCGGCUUCUAGUACUUCGUCCACGAGUACCACGUGUGUGCUCAUCGUAACUACCGAAUUAAUCUGUAUUUAGAAUUUUGAUGCACAUCAGUUUACAGUUUCAAUAAUUAUCAAUUUACAGUUUUGAUAAUUAUUAGCAGAUAUUGCCAAUUUCCAAUUUAGUCCCUAAGCCGAGACUAACUUUUAUUAUUCACAUUUAAUUCUUUAUUUUCAUGCAAAUUCCACUUUAGACUAAAUUCAACUCCCUAUUUUCACAUAAAUUCCUAAAUUUUGAAUUUUUUACAAUUUAGUCCUUAUUACACAAAAUUUACUAUUUGUUCUACAAUUUAAUCAUUUUUCAUUUCUAGCUUAAAAAUCUAUCAAUUUAAUCCCUAAUACUAAAAUUAUUCAACAUAGACAACACUUAAAAACUCAAUAAUUUCUAAAAUUUUGACAUGGGUCAGGUAAUAUUUAAUACUGGCAUUCCAAAAACAUAAAAAUUACAAGAAAAUAGGGACUAAAUUAACUAACGAAUUGAGCGUGAAACUUUGAAAACCUUAGCUUUGGUCUUUCUCCUUAUCUUUCCUUUUUCUUUCUUUUUCCCUUCUGUUUCGUUUGUUCUUUCUUUCUUUUCUAUUUCUAUUUAUUUUAUUUUAUUAUUAUAAUAUAAUAAAUAUACUUAAACAUUAAGAUUUAUUAUUAUAUAAUAUUAUAAUAAAUUUUUACUUUAAAUUUUAUAAUAAUUACACUUAUGCCGCCUCAUUUAUGAGCAAUGUCAUAAUUUCUUCUUUAGUCCUUCUAAUUUUUCUUUAAUCUAUAAUUCAAUUUUCACCCUUUAUACAAUUUAGUCCUUAUACCUAAUUACUCUUAAUUCAUGCAAAUUUUCCUACCAAAACCUAAUUAACCACACAACUAACUUUGUAAAUAUUUCUAAUAAAUAUUUACGAGUCUAAUUUACGAAAACGGAGUCUCAAAAAUACAUUUUUCGACACCCAUAACUAUCGGGUCCUUACAUGUACUUAGGAGUUUGUUUUGGUUUCCUUACAUGUCCUUACAUCUACUUAUGCGGUACGCUAAAAUGGAUGCUACAUUAAUGUCACAUGCGAUAAGUCUAUUCGAACGUGGUAUGUUGUACCAAACAGGUGAAUAUAUGUAGGCAUAAUAUAAUAAUAACAAAAUUAUGAUAUUAUAAUUAUAGCAACACAAAUAAUAAAAUAACACUAUAAUAAAAUAACAAAAAUAAUAAUAGGAAUAAUAAUACUAUUUAAUAAUGAUAAUAAUAUAUAGUAAAAUAACAGAAAAAGAUAUGAUGAUGUUAUAAUUAUAACGUGUAAUAUUAACAAUAAUAAAAUUUUAACGGAAAUUAACAAUAAUCAUCUAAUAAAAUAAAUGGUAGAAGGACUUAAAUUAAAUAAUAUAGAAAUUUAAAGAUGAAAAACAUGAAUUGCGUAACUUGAAGGGUAAAAAUGCAAAUAAUAAAAUUAAAAGUGAUCGAAAUAAAUCGUUUUUACUAACUCAUGUGUUUUUUCGAAAAUAGACUAAUUUUUAUUUAUAAAUAAAUAAAUGUUUUAAAAUCGACUUUUUUUAAACCCUGAUUUCUAUUAGGCCAUCUCGGUGGCCGAUGUAAUCUCCUAUAUUCGAGUCUAGCGUCUAGCCGGGUGAAGGAGGUUACAAAUUAAGAUAAUUAAGAAUUUAAAUUAAAUUAGAAUAUUUAAAGUUUUAAUUUAUAUAAGAUAAUUAGGAGUUUAAAUUAAAUUAAUAUAAUUAAAAUUUUAAUUUAUUUAAAAAGAGUUCUAAUAAUAUGAUAAGAAUAAAAAUAUUUAAACUGAAAUUUUAGGGAUUAUAAGUUAGACCCUAAUUCACUUAAGAAUAUGGUACAUAUUAUAUUACAAUAUUAUAACAAUUAUUUGAUAUUUUAUUUUAUUUAUUUUAUUUUUGGUUGUGUAUUAUAUUAUAAUAAUUAUUUGUUAUUAUUUAUUAAAAUUUUAAAUGGAAUUUUUUAAAAUGUAAUUAAGAUUGAAUCAUCAAUAACAUACUAAGAUAGCGAACACUGAACUAAAACUUGUAAUUAUAUUGUCAUAUAUUUAUACAUGGCUUAACUUAUAAAAAAUUUAAACAAGACGAUACAAUUUAUAAUUAACAAUAGAAGAGUAUAAUAAUCAAGCUAUGUUAAAUUAACAAUACAUGCAAUAUCAUUAAAGUAAAAUACACAACAUAAACUUCAUUAAAACAUAAAUCAAGCCAAGUGAUGUUAACAUUACAUACAACAUUCAAAAUUAAUUUCACUAGAACAAACGAUAUAACAUAAACUAUAACCAUUCAGAAUCUCUAUGCAUGCAAAGAGAUUCAGCAUUGCUACAUGGAUGAAUGCACACACACAUUUCCCACUCACCAUCUUUUUUAUUAACAAUAUAAUUACGAUAUCCCAUGAAAUUACUGCAUGAUGAUGGCACAUGCACCAGUGUCAUAUGGCUUAAGGCUUAGUGCUCGAGCCAGACUGAAUAAACAUGGACUUCGGCCAUUCAGGCAUUUUAACCCACUCAGGGUACUAUGCCUUUCUCAGGUUUCUUCUCCUCUUCUUUUUCAUGCUUUGGGAACUCAUGUUUAUGUUCCUUAUCCUCAUCUAGUUUUUCCUUGCACUCAGGUAUUUUUGGAUAUUCGGCUUUAUGUUUCUCGUGCCCUUUAGGCUUUUCCCAUUUGGGGAAAUCGGGUUUUUCUUUCUCGUACUCUUCGUGCUCUUUCGAUUCGUGUGACUCCUGGCACUCUUCAUCUUUAUGUUUCUUACUCUUAUCUUCCUUUUCCUUGUACUCGGGUAUUUCCGAAUAUUCGACUUCGUGUUUCUCGUGCUCUUUAGGCUUUUCCCGUUUGGGGAACUCGGGUUUUUCUUUCUCGUAUUCUUCGUGCUCCUUCGAUUCACGUGAUUCGUGGUACUCUUCAUUUUUAUGUUCCUUAUCCUCAUCUUGUUUGUCCUUGUACUCGGGUAUUUUCGGAUAUUCGACUUCGUGUUUCUCGUGCUCUUUAGGCUUUUCCCAUUUGGGGAAAUCGGGUUUUUCUUUAUCGUACUCUUCGUGCUCCUUCGAUUCGCGUGACUCGUGGUACUCUUCAUGAUGUUUGCAGGGUUUUUGUUUUUCCUCCUUGUACAUUUCAGGCUUCUCAUGUUUUAGGUACUCUUCAUGAUAUUUUGGCUGUUUGUAUUCAGACUCUUCGUGCUUUUCGUAUUUUGAAGCCAAUUGUGGCAGCUUUGAUGAGGUUGUUUGUGUCUGGAAUAAAUGUCGAGCCGCUGACGAGACGGUGUGGCUACCGAUCAUUAGUGAGACAGUAAUGAGUAAAAGUUGGAAAAGGAAGAAAGGAUGACGAAAGUUAUGAGCCAUGGUUAACCAAAUAGAAAGAAAAGAAUUUUAAGUGUAUUUUUGUGUGGAUUGUUGUCUAUGUGUAGCAAGCCUUUUAUAGGAGAGGAUGAGAGAUGGUUUGGUGGGAUUUGGCUCCACGUUGUUUGUACCAAUUUCUCAUCUACAUAAUUGACUUAUGGUGGGAUUAUGUUAAGA
rnacentral:lncRNA from 1 species